AUGAACGCUGGCGGCGUGCCUAAUACAUGCAAGUCGAGCGAACGGACGAGAAGCUUGCUUCUCUGAUGUUAGCGGCGGACGGGUGAGUAACACGUGGAUAACCUACCUAUAAGACUGGGAUAACUUCGGGAAACCGGAGCUAAUACCGGAUAAUAUUUUGAACCGCAUGGUUCAAAAGUGAAAGACGGUCUUGCUGUCACUUAUAGAUGGAUCCGCGCUGCAUUAGCUAGCUGGUAAGGUAACGGCUUACCAAGGCAACGAUGCAUAGCCGACCUGAGAGGGUGAUCGGCCACACUGGAACUGAGACACGGUCCAGACUCCUACGGGAGGCAGCAGUAGGGAAUCUUCCGCAAUGGGCGAAAGCCUGACGGAGCAACGCCGCGUGAGUGAUGAAGGUCUUCGGAUCGUAAAACUCUGUUAUUAGGGAAGAACAUAUGUGUAAGUAACUGUGCACAUCUUGACGGUACCUAAUCAGAAAGCCACGGCUAACUACGUG
rnacentral:rRNA from 1 species